AAAGUCGUAACAAGGUUUCCGUAGGUGAACCUGCGGAAGGAUCAUUACAGAGUUCAUGCCCUUCGGGGUAGACCUCCCACCCAUUGUAUACCGUGCCUUUGUUGCUUUGGCGGGCCGCCUCGCGGCCACCGGCCCUCGGGCUGGUGCGCGCCCGCCAGAGAAACCCAAACCCUGUCUUACAGUGUCGUCCGAGUACUAUAUAAUAGUUAAAACUUUCAACAACGGAUCUCUUGGUUCUG
rnacentral:misc_RNA from 1 species